rnacentral:rRNA from 1 species
AUUGAACGCUGGCGGCAUGCCUUACACAUGCAAGUCGAACGGUAGCGGGCCUUCGGGUGCCGGCGAGUGGCGAACGGGUGAGUAAUGUAUCGGAACGUACCUUUAAGUGGGGGAUAACGUAGCGAAAGUUACGCUAAUACCGCAUAUUCUGGGAGCAGGAAAGCAGGGGAUCGCAAGACCUUGCGCUGAUUGAGCGGCUGAUAUCAGAUUAGGUAGGUGGUGAGGUAAAGGCUCACCAAGGCGACGAUCUGUAGCGGGUCUGAGAGGAUGAUCCGCCACACUGGAACUGAGACACGGUCCAGACUCCUACGGGAGGCAGCAGUGGGGAAUUUUGGACAAUGGGGGCAACCCUGAUCCAGCCAUGCCGCGUGAGUGAAGAAGGCCUUCGGGUUGUAAAGCUCUUUCGGCCGGGAAGAAAUCGUAUCAGCUAAUACCUGGUGCGGAUGACGGUACCGGCAUAAGAAGCACCGGCUAACUACGUGCCAGCAGCCGCGGUAACAC